rnacentral:rRNA from 1 species
CCAGCAGCCGCGGUAAUUCCAGCUCCAAUAGCGUAUAUGAAAGUUGUUGCAGUUAAAAAGCUCGUAGUUGGAUUUCGGAUUGGUGGAGGAAGGAGUUGGUCGAAAUGACUUUAAUUCCUCUCCAUUAUCCUACCUUGGGGAUUAAAGAGGUUGGAGAGGAGUGGUAUUAGCAAUAAUAUCACUCUGCUCCUUCUUCUCCUCAUCUUUUACUUUGAGAAAAUUAGAGUGUUCAAAGCAGGCGUAACCCAGCCUUGAAUACUUUAGCAUGGGAUAAUAGAAUAGGACGAAAGUCUUAUUUUGUUGGUUUCUAGGGCUUUUGUAAUGAUUAAAAGGGACAGUUGGGGGCAUUU